UGUAAGCGUAUACCAAAGUUGUUGCAGUUAAAACGCUCGUAGUCGGAAUUUGGCAGUUCCGGAUGUGUGCACGUCGUGUGCGCACUUCGCGGGGAUUGCUUUUGUGGUCUUGCGUAGGAUGAGGCACUUUUAUUAGUGAACGUCCUCACGCAACCACUUUUUACUGUGAGAAAAUCAGAGUGCUCAAAGCAGGCAUUUGCCGUGAAUGUAUUAGCGUGGAAUAAUAGAAUAGGACUUGGUUCUAUUUUGUUGGUUUGUUGGGACUGAGUAAUGAUUAAGAGGGACAGUUGGGGGGCAUUUGUAUUUCGGUGCUAGAGGUGAAAUUCUUAGAUUACCGAAAGACAAACUGCUGCGAAAGCGUCUGCCAAGGAUGUUUUCAUUGA
rnacentral:rRNA from 1 species